rnacentral:rRNA from 1 species
AUAUCAAANUAUCAAUAAGCGGAGGAACAACUCCAAACCCAAUGUGAACGUUACCAAACUGUUGCCUCGGCGGGAACUCAUGCCCCGGGUGCGUCGCAGCCCCGGACCAAGGCGCCCGCCGGAGGACCAACCAAAACUCUUUUUGUAUACCCCCUCGCGGGUUUUUUAUAAUCUGAGCCUUCUCGGCGCCUCUCGUAGGCGUUUCGAAAAUGAAUCAAAACUUUCAACAACGGAUCUCUUGGUUCUGGCAUCGAUGAAGAACGCAGCGAAAUGCGAUAAGUAAUGUGAAUUGCAGAAUUCAGUGAAUCAUCGAAUCUUUGAACGCACAUUGCGCCCGCCAGUAUUCUGGCGGGCAUGCCUGUCCGAGCGUCAUUUCAACCCUCGAACCCCUCCGGGGGGUCGGCGUUGGGGAUCGGCCUUCCUUCACGGGGGCCGUCUCCGAAAUACAGUGGCGGUCUCGCCGCAGCCUCUCCUGCGCAGUAGUUUGCACACUCGCAUCGGGAGCGCGGCGCGUCCACAGCCGUUAAACACCCAACUUCUGAAAUGUUGACCUCGGAUCAGGUAGGAAUACCCGCUGAACUUAAGCAUAUCAAUAANGGGNGGGAA